UUGUACAAAUGUGAUAACAGUAAGAAAAUUGAAGAUUUGCUCACUUUGGCUUCACUUUUGCUUUUGCUGGUGCAGUACAAGGACCGCAAGUGAUUUUUCCUGUCACCAUUGUUCCACAUAAAUGAAUCUCACCUGGUGUACUAUAUGCUCUCACUUUUGUGAAAGGGUAUUCUUCAGUUGGAGACAUCAAUGGGUAGUGCAGAGUUUCCGUCAAUGAUUGCAACCUUUGUUUCAAUUAGUAGGGAACCAGAGGGUUCCCACUCUGUUAUCCUUACUAAUUGAAAUUGCUAACCUUCACCACAUCAAAAUAACAGCAUUUGAACUUGGAAAACAAAGGAACAUUUUCUCUAUAAGUUGGUUUCCUAUGAAUCUUUAUUUUUAAGCUGGUUUGCAUUUAUAAGUUGUCUUUCGCUGCAUCCAUUACCGGGAUCACUUCUUGAAUCUGUGUCUAACUUAGAGAGUGUGUUACUGUUACUAUGAAGUGUUAUCUAAUUAAGAUGCUAGUUAGAAUUUUAAAAAAAUCUCAAAUAGAUAUUUUCCUGAAGUAGAUUCUGGCAAAUGAGUAUAUCAGUGAUCUCUGCCAAUUACAUUGUUAAUAGUGUGAAAUAGUUGAUGCUUUACAAAGAUUCUUGACAUUGAAGUGGCCUGCUCGAAAAAGUGAACUCAGUGCUUCCCCUGAUGAUGUGUCGCAACACUAACAGAAGUGCACUUUGUUACAUCUUAUUAAACUUUCAUGUUACCAAUAUAUCUAGCUUUGGACUUUCCUUUCAUGCCGCAUGAAAAUAUUUAAAGUGUUAUAACAGGGUUAUUAUCUAUCCAAGAUCUUUGUACUUUUGUGAACUUUGGUAUCUCAAGUAGUAGAAGGCUCUCCUAGAAUGGGCAAGGACAGUGAGUUGUUUGGCUUAAUUUCCUGGGUUUGGGAACUCUAGCAUCUAAAUAAAACAUUGUAGUUAUGCAGCUCUCACAUUUCUUGUCUAUGUGCACACACAAUUGUUUUUCCUCUCUAAAUGUAACUAUUAUAGAGGUUAGGUUCGUUGAUGAAACUUAGAGAUCUUAACUGAACCUAGUACGUAUUCUAAACUUUGAAUAUGCCAUAAUGUGUACUACAUCGAUUUUUUUAGUGUACAUGAAGAUAUUUACUUUCUUGAUUAAUGAUUUUGCAAAAUAUUUUAGGACAAAUUUGACAUUGAUGACAUGAAUCAUCAAAGAGAUCAUGUCUUAAACCAUAUGAGAAAGUUAUGGACCAAUUGGAGAGGAUCAUUGCACAGGUAUGUGAAGUUUAAGACAUUGCAUGAAGCUCUAAAAGAUGUCCUGGAGGAGGUAGACAAGAGUGAUUGGGAAUGGUUGGUCAAGGAACUUUUUUAAGUGAAAAAUUUAAGGCUGGGAUACAAGAACUGAUAAAAUCUGAGCCGUCUCUUACGAAUAUCGAGGUAGUAGAAAGGUGCUUCGGACCUCAAAACAAGAGCCACGUAGUUGGAUUAGGGGGUGGUAUAACCACUAAGUAGUUGAAAGGCGGUAGUUCCUCAAAGACUGCAAUACUGGCUGAGCUGAAUGCAACUCGAAAAGAAAAAGAAUCACUACAGACCGAGCUGAAUGCGACUAAAAAAGUAAAAGAAUCACUAGAAAUACGUAUGGACGGCAUAGAUUCUAAGUAUGCACAUAUUAUAAGCUUACCGUUUGAUCAGUCUUCAUCAGCACCAUCUUCAAGUCAACAAAGUACAAGCUAAAAUAUUUAACAGAUAAAGGGAUUGAAGUUUGAAGAAUCUUCCAUAAAGAUAGUUUCGAGCAAGUUGAAGCAGCUAGAAUUGUUGAAGAACAAGGGAAAUCUAUUUUGUUUUAUUAGGAGUUAUAGUCCUCAUCUGUAAAAACUACUAUUAUACUUUCUCUCUAAUUUUUAUGUUUUCUUUAAGGAAUUGAAAAAAAGGUGCAUGAUAUUUG